rnacentral:rRNA from 1 species
AGGAUGAUUCCUUCCGCAGUGUACACUUGUAGAAGCCUUUGCAGCCACGCAAGUGGUAGAUCUAGGCGACUUUAAAUAAUCCUAGGAUCGCCAUGCAAGUCGGCCCACGCAUGUGGUGCCGGCGACACUUUCGAAUUGACGGGGAUACCCUAAAGCCUGUCGCACCAACUCUGUGUGGGAAACCGCUGGAGGGCCCGUGCUAACUACACGGGGUGGUAACAGACGACAUGGAUACCUCCACGCCUUUGGUGUGGAUACUAUGGGCAAUCCGCAGCGAAGCCCCUAAGUCCGGCCGCCGGAUAUGGGGAACGUUCACAGACUAAGUGGAAGUGGGUGGAGCGUUCGCCGCUCUGCUUAAGAUAUAGUCGGGCCCCUUAGGAAACUAAGGGGGUGAGUACACUGCUCGAAAUUUAAGCUUGAACGUGUCUCGGAUAGCGCUCAUGUUAGAAUUUCGAGACUGUCGACUGCCUCGCGGUUUGACAGCUCUUAAAACGUUCCGUAGGUGAACCUGCGGAAGGAUCAUUACAGAAAGUAAACGCGGAUCAAACCGCGAACUUUUAAACCUUUGACGAUUGACUCAUGUUGCCUCGGCGGGUUCUCCCGCCAGAGGAUACAUAAACUCCUGUUUUAACGGUGUUGUCUGAGCUACAAGCAACGAAUCAAAACUUUCAACAACGGAUCUCUUGGUUCUGGCAUCGAUGAAGAACGCAGCGAAAUGCGAUAAGUAGUGUGAAUUGCAGAAUUCAGUGAAUCAUCGAAUCUUUGAACGCACAUUGCGCCCCUUGGUAUCCCGAGGGGCAUGCCUGUUCGAGCGUCAUUUCACCACUCAAGCAUGGCUUGGUGUUGGGCGACGUCCCCUUUAGGGACGCGCCUCGAAACGCUCGGCGGCGUGGCACCGGCUUUAAGCGUAGCAGAAUCUUUCGCUUUGAAAGUCGGGGCCCCGUCUGCCGGAAGACCUACUCGUAAGGUUGACCUCGGAUCAGGCAGGGAUACCCGCUGAACUUAAGCAUAUCAAUAAGCGGAGGAAAAGAAACCAACAGGGAUUGCCUCAGUAACGGCGAGUGAAGCGGCAACAGCUCAAAUUUGAAAUCUGGCUCUUUUAGGGUCCGAGUUGUAAUUUGUAGAGGAUGCUUCGGCGUCGGCUCCGGUCUAAGUUCCUUGGAACAGGACGUCAUAGAGGGUGAGAAUCCCGUAUGUGAUCGGUUGCCCUUGCCAUGUGAAGCUCCUUCGACGAGUCGAGUUGUUUGGGAAUGCAGCUCUAAAUGGGAGGUAAAUUUCUUCUAAAGCUAAAUACUGGCCAGAGACCGAUAGCGCACAAGUAGAGUGAUCGAAAGAUGAAAAGCACUUUGGAAAGAGAGUCAAAAAGUACGUGAAAUUGUUGAAAGGGAAGCGCUUGCAACCAGACCUGCCUGCAGUUGCUCAUCCGGGCUUUUGCCCGGUGCACUCUUCUGCUGUCAGGCCAGCAUCAGUUCGGGCGGUCGGAUAAAGGCUUCGGGAAUGUAGCUCCUCUCGAGGAGUGUUAUAGCCCGUUGCGAAAUGCGGCCAGCCUGAACUGAG